rnacentral:rRNA from 1 species
GUAGUUAGCCGGAGCUUCCUCCCUGGGUACCGUCAUCUAUUCGUCCCCAAGGACAGAGGUUUACAACCCGAAGGCCUUCAUCCCUCACGCGGCGUUGCUGGGUCAGGGUUGCCCCCAUUGCCCAAUAUUCCCCACUGCUGCCUCCCGUAGGAGUUUGGACCGUGUCUCAGUUCCAAUGUGGCCGAUCACCCUCUCAGGUCGGCUACCCAUCGCAGGCUUGGUGAGCCGUUACCUCACCAACUACCUAAUGGGACGCGAGCCCAUCUACAAGCGAUAAAUCUUUUACCCCUCUACCAUGCGGUAGUGUGGUCUUAUGCGGUAUUAGCAGCCGUUUCCAGCUGUUGUCCCCCUCUUGUAGGUAGGUUGCUCACGCGUUACUCACCCGUCCGCCACUAAGUCUAUUAAGAAUCCAUCCGAAAACUUCAUCUUAAUAGCUUCGUUCGACUUGCAUGUGUUAAGCACGCCGCCAGCGUUCGUCCUGAGCCAGAAUCAAACUACUGA